GUCCCAAUGUGUUGACAGCUUGGCCCCCAGUACAGCAAUCUUCAGAGAUGAUGCUUUGGAAGACUCGGGACAGCAGGAGGAGGGCAGAAGCUGGUGAAGCCUCUCCCUGGUGGUGACAGAUUCUUGUUUUUAAAUUCCUGUGGACAGGCCUUAUCCUCUGCUGGCUCCUGAGAGAACAUCACAUUAGUUAGUUUAUCCCAAAUAUCUUUGAAGAGAACUUGCAGUGAGCAGAACAUGGCAGUGGGGUGGAGGAAGGCAGAAGGAAUUUUUCAGAACCUUUGCCCAUCCCAUGCCCACCCCUCACCCCUGCCCAAGAGGAAAUGAGACACAAUCAUAUAUGCUUCCAAGUACACACCCGGAACAUCGUCUGGCAUUUUCAAACCAUGCAGAAUCCUGGACCCUGCCCUCCCCAAACCUAAGGGACAAGAAUCUACAUUUUAACAAGCUGCUUGGAGGACUUGAAGGCACGCUGAAGCCUGAGAAGCAGCGAUGUGGAGAAUAUUUGAAAUGUUCUUUCAGACGUCUGAUUCCUCCAGUCACAAACUUCCUUCCAGGCCCAGGGAGGAAGAUAGACAGGUCAGAGAUUUUUAAAGAGUGAGUAAGAUUUACAUGGUCUUUUAAAUGCUAAAAAAGAUCCAUUCUGGGCUGAGUCUGAGGAGAAGAGGCAUUCAUUUUAAGCAGGUCAUCUCACACACACACACACACACACACACACACACACACACACACACACGUACACACUUACAUCCACACACACACACACGCAUUCAUGCACACACGCACUGCAGUUGCCAUCACAAGAAGUCCUCUAGCAGUUCCAGCUGUGCAAAAUCCGAAGGCAUGCAGAGUGGAAGAUUCCCACCUCUCCUAAAUUCAACAAUUAUACAAAGCAGGAAGGAUUUAAUUUUUCAUUUGUUUGUUUUGAGUUAGGGUCUCACUACACAGUAGUUCAGGCUGGCUUGAAAUCACUAAGUAGCCUCGUCUGGCCUAGAACCUCCAGCGAUUCUCCUGGCUCAGCCUCCCAAGUGGUGGGAUUAUAGGCGUGCACCACAAUGCCCAACUGUUUUGUCUUAUUUGUUUUUGCUUUGUUUUGUCUUGUUUUUUUGAGAAACAGUCUCAAAUAUUUUGAACUUGCCCAAUCCUACAGCAAAGCAAAGCUCCUUCCAUAUCUUCCUGAAAAGGGUUACAGACUCAGGUGGAAUGGAGGAAGAUCUGGACAGUUCCACUGCUUCCUCACAAAAGCAACCUCAAAGUCAAGAUGUUUCUUGAGUGGCCCAGUGGCAAAAAUCACAAUAAAAAAAAUUUGACAGGGGCAUAUUUCAGGUGUCAGUUCCAAUGGGUGAGUAACAGUCAAGGAAUAAAAACCACCCAAUAUAAAAGAUAUCCCACUUUGAAGCUGACAGGGAAUAUUGACUUAUAUCCUUACUUUUCCCAAGUGUCAUAUCCCCCAGGAGUCACACUGACACUGCAAAGGUUUCUUGUGAAAUAAUUCCUUCACCAGCAUCAGGGAAUAGCCCUGCCCUUUGAUCCAAACAGAUACAAUCUCGAAAGUUCCCUCAGUUACACAUCUCCAGAUGGGCUGCCCAAAAUAAGAGCUCUGAAAGGAGAGAACAGGAGAAAAGUGUGCAUCAGUGUGGAAGGAGCAAGCUGUUAUAAAAAGAAGAGGGACAAAUUCUAGAAUGUGCAUUCCAUGAACAGACUCCAUGUGUGAUAUGUAGAAGGCAUUUUAUAUCCUUCACAGCUUUCACUUAAUCUGCAGAUUUUUGCCAGUCAUGUUCACGAUUAUAGCUGUAUGCAACUCUUCAUAACACAAAAGCUAAAAAAAGGCCAAAACUUUCACCUUGGACAAUCUGAAUUCUAUAGCUUUCGACUUUCUCUCUAGACACACGUACACACACCUACAACCACCACCACCACCACAUGUGGUAGCCAUCAUAGUAACAUCAUGUCAUUGCCCACUGAACCCCAAGACAUCAGGAUCUCAGGCCUCAGGACCAAACAUAAGCCUACUUCCUGCCCCAGGUCCUCCUUGUCCUUUAGAGACAAGACAUUGAACUUGGCUUCUAAACUGGAAAUAUUCAGGGACUGAACCAAGUCACCAUCUCGCUGCAGUACAACCCUAAAAUAACCCCCACGUGUACACACACAGCCCUACAUAUGCUUCCUUGGCCUUCGAAAGCUAUUUUUCUCUACUUUUAUUAGAUUUUGAAUCCACCUCCAUGGCACUGCAAGUCUGAGGACGGUCCAAUCUGCUGCAGAUUUGAGCCAGCUCCGACAACACGAGGAAAUUGUUGGCCAGUUCUACCCUGCUAUAAAAAUAAGCAAACCUGAGCUCUGUUUUCUCUUCAUCACGUGCAGGCUGAUGGAAGCCAGAACUCAGUCAUAAAGAAUCGGGAUAUUUUGCCUCUUCAGAAGAACUUUGGUGGACGAAGAGAAGAAAGGGGCUUUAAAUAUGGAAUAAGCACUCUUGAAUAGGAAACAAGGCAGAGAGAGGGAGAGAGAGAGAGAGAAAGAGAGAAUGUGUGUGUGUGUGUGUGUGUGUGUUUGGCUCCCAGCCAGGUUGCAAAUGUGUUUUCAAAGCCAAUUACAAUGCAGAGAUCGAGCAGUCUAUCUGUUCUUCCAGCAGAUUGCUAAGGCCAAUCAGCUGUGUGGGGCUUUCGGGAGCCCCUCAUUCUUGGAGACGGGGGACAGUUCUCUAUAGAAGCCUCUUGAUAUAAGAAAGGAUUUCUUUUAAAAAGGACAUCUUUUAUUUCCCCAUCUGUUUCCUCUCACAGCACAAUUUGGGGUCAACUCGGGUCUUACAACAUUCAGAAGGAUAAUUUGGCACUUUCCUUCAGUAACUGUGAAGAUGUAGACUGCAAAGGGCUCACUCUGCCUACUGUUUUCUCUGCAGAGAAGCCCAGGGUGAUGGGACCACCCCCCCAACCGCCUGGAUCUCAGGAUCUGUUAUAAAUAGACAAGGGGUGAAUGACUUUGGAAGGGCAAAAAAGAACAACCCCCCUCCCCCAAGAAAAGGGUGUUAAUUGAAGCUGUUUUCAAAAAUUGCAAAUCCCUGGAUGUAACUGCUUAAAGCAAAUGAGACAUUAGCGCUCCUAGGAAGAGCUAGACUAUGUGGAAGGCAGUAGGCCGGGCCUUGAUGGCUAUCUCAGCUUUUAAACUGGUGAGAGUUGGCUUCUCAAGUCCAAACAUGCAGGUACAAAGGACACUUAAUCACAAACAGCUGAAAACUCUGAUAUAAAUCCCAAUAAAGUGGAGGAAAGAACAAAAACACAGAGACAUUUUAGCAGCCGCUGAACAAAUGAACUGUCCCUGCUCUUCACCUUCUCCUCCUCAGGGCUGAGCUCCCUGGACAGAAGGGUAAUCAAACUGAUGGUGCGCGGCUGCCUCACAAUACAAGCCACACCUCUUCUGUCUCUGCCAUAUCAGGUUUCCUGUCUACUUUCACAGGAUCAGAGAUUUCUUUCCAUCCUCUUCUUCUGCAAAACUCAAGGGUACAGGGAAAACCACCCACCUCAUGGACAGUCUAAUUUUUUAUUAUUUCUAAAUAUAGUGCCAAAGGAAUGCUGAAAAUAAAAUCAUUUACAACAAAAUGGUCCUUGUGAAAGCAUAACUAUUUCUAUACAAUGCCUUAUAUCACCAGAAAAAGGAAGAGGAGAAAUGGAUACAAAGAGAACUAGAAAUUCAUUUCUAGUUAAGUCUACUAGGUGGUGUGAAGAG